UACGAAGGGGGGCUAGCGUUGCUCGGAAUUACUGGGCGUAAAGCGCACGUAGGCGGAUACUUAAGUCAGGGGUGAAAUCCCGGGGCUCAACCCCCGGAACUGCCUUUGAUACUGGGUAUCUCGAGUCCGGAAGAGGUGAGUGGAAUUCCGAGUGUAGAGGUGAAAUUCGUAGAUAUUCGGAGGAACACCAGUGGCGAAGGCGGCUCACUGGUCCGGUACUGACGCUGAGGUGCGAAAGCGUGGGGAGCAAACAGG
rnacentral:rRNA from 1 species